AACCUCCGCAAUGUGAGAAAUCGCGACGGGGGGAUCCCAAGUGCCAUUCUUAACGGGAUGGCUUUUCAUUAGUGUAAAGAGCUUUUGGAAUAAGAGCUGGGCAAGACCGGUGCCAGCCGCCGCGGUAACACCGGCAGCUCUAGUGGUAACAAUUUUUAUUGGGCCUAAAGCGUCCGUAGCCGGUUUAAUAAGUCUCUGGUGAAAUCCUGCAGCUUAACUGUGGGAAUUGCUGGAGAUACUAUUAGACUUGAGACCGGGAGAGGUUAGAGGUACUCCCAGGGUAGAGGUGAAAUUCUGUAAUCCUGGGAGGACCGCCUGUUGCGAAGGCGUCUAACUGGAACGGUUCUGACGGUGAGGGACGAAAGUUAGGGGCGCGAACCGGAUUAGAUACCCGGGUAGUCCUAACUGUAAACGAUGCGGACUUGGUGUUGGGGUGGCUUUGAGCUGCUUCAGUGCCGAAGGGAAGCUGUUAAGUCCGCCGCCUGGGAAGUACGGUCGCAAGACUGAAACUUAAAGGAAU
rnacentral:rRNA from 1 species